rnacentral:lncRNA from 1 species
GCAAGUCACGUGUAAACCGGCUGCGUUGCGGCGCGCAGGGCUACAAAUUGAAACAAUGAUGAGAGUACCAUUUUAGGACACUGUCAAACUUGUAGAAGCAGAGACUGGAAGAGGAGAAAGGAAGUAGUCAGAAAUCACUGGUCACUCAGAGCACCUUCUGAAUUAAGGGGCAGUAUAUGUCUGCUACUUAUAUCAUCAAGAUCCCAGUCCAGGUAAUAGUGGCAAUCACAGUGACCCUUGUCAUUUCGGUAACCUACAUAAGACAAGUAUCCAAAUAUCUUUGACCGGAACAUUUAUGGGUAAGUGGGGAAAAGGAAAAGAAGAAACAUGAUCAAAAUUUAUUCUAUGGAAAUAAAUUUAACUAAAAUAU